GUGCCAGCCGCCGCGGUAAUACGUAGGCAGCAAGCGUUGUUCGGAAUUACUGGGCGUAAAGAGUGUGUAGGCGGUGCACUAAGUUUGUCGUGAAAUCUCCCGGCUUAACUGGGAGGGUGCGGCGAAAACUGGUGUGCUCGAGGGUGGGAGAGGUAAGCGGAAUUCCUGGUGUAGCGGUGAAAUGCGUAGAUAUCAGGAGGAACACCUGUGGUGUAGACAGCUUACUGGACCACUUCUGACGCUGAGACACGAAAGCGUGGGUAGCAAACAGGAUUAGAUACCCCCGUAGUCC
rnacentral:rRNA from 1 species